rnacentral:misc_RNA from 1 species
AAGUCGUAACAAGGUUUCCGUAGGUGAACCUGCGGAAGGAUCAUUAUCAAAUUCAAUUAUUAAACUAUGUGAAUUGGCCAUAGCAAUAUGGUUCUAUUAUACUACUAUUGUCUUUAAAUAUUUAUUAAUAUUAUAUAACUUUUAACAAUGGAUCUCUUGGCUCUU